UCUGAGAAGAAGCAAAUAAAUACGAUAUUAAUUCUUUAAUGCCCAUGAAGUGUUUGAAAAAAUGCCCGACAUAGAAAUAUUACCCACGACUUUAGGAAAUGGUUCGACACUAUUCCACAUAUGGGUUUGAUGUAGUUUAGCCAUUAAAGAAUUCAAAUCGAAGAACUAGAAGAGAAGUGUGAGGUUAUUAAAAUUCUACUUCUAAUUACUAACAUUUCAUGUUUCAUUCCCCAUACUUGUAUUUAAUGUUUUCUGGGCUCUUAUUUUUUGAUUUAUUUCGAUGUUGUCAAUGGUAGGUAUUGCCUCAUCUGUGUUUCAUUCCCCAUGUAGUACUUGUAUUUAAUAUUUUCUGGGCUCUUCUUUUUUGAUUUAUUUCGAUAUUUUUAAUGGUAGGUGUUGUCUCAUCUCAAAGACCUCUCGACUCAAGAAAUAUAGUGCUUGAAGAAUGACUACUUGUACCAUCACACGGUUCCUAACAAGGAAGAGUUCGGCCACAAGAAGACAUAUGGCUCGGUAAGAAAGUGCUUCAUUGUUUUGCAUCUUAUUAGACAAGAUGAGGAGUUGAGAAAAUGUGGAUUCCGACGGUCUGUACUGUACUAAGACUGCGUACAAUAGACCCUUGUGGUCGGGCUCUUCCCCGGAACCUGUGCAUAGCGGGAGCUUUCGUGCACCAGGCUAGUACAAAUUAAAGUUAGAGCAAGGAUUGAGAAGUGGGUUCUCAAGAGGUCUUUGAUGAUGGGGAGCAUCCCUACCUCCAAAUGACGUAGAUUUUCAUUUUGCAGCUGAUUUCCAAGUGAUUUGGAUAGUUAAAUUGUUAAUGAAGACCAACAUUUACUUUCCUUUCAUCAUAUUUUUAUAGGCAGAAAGAGUAAUUCAGUGAAGGUGUAGGCUAUAGUUGGUAACAUAGACUCAAAUCCUCAUGCUGAACAACGUUAUUUCAGUAUCCAUAUUUACCAUUGCUUUAUCGUCCAGUGCUUUUCUGAUUCAGUAAGCUGUCUAUAGCACUAUUAAAUUUGUUGAGUAGAAUGUGUCUUCGUCAAAGAACCUUCACUUUUCAGGCAGGGCUGCUAUUGUUUUGCAUCCUCUACUUGUGAGAAAUAUUUAGCCACAAUAGCUAAUGGGGAAUUCGGUCACAUGAUCACUGGCAAUGUACCAAGCUUUGGUAUGUGUGGGAGCUGCUCUUGAUCUCACAAUAAAGAGCUAGCAGUUUGUUGUCCUAAAUUUUUGCUCAUGUUUGAGCAUAUUAUUACUAUUGUUAUACUCAUAAUUUGGGAGCUUAGUGCAUUGAUUUGUCUCUUAUUGUUAUAAGAAGAGAUAGCAUGUCUUUUAGUGCUCCAGCUGAAUGCGAUUCCUUCUCGUAUCACUCGCUUAUUCAUUUCAUUUUUUUUUUUAAUUCUACAGCAUUACAGUGCAUUCGGCCAUGUAAAUGUAAAUUAAACUUUUGAGCAAUAUUAAUAUUGUUCAAUUAGCA